rnacentral:misc_RNA from 1 species
CCAAUGCCAUUGCUAAUUGCAUAAUAUUUGAUGCUGAUACCGUGUUCUGCGAACCAAAAGAUAUGUAUAGAACAGAAUUCAACGGUUUUGUAUCAAGCCAUUUUUUACAUACCUCUGGCGCGAUUCCUCUGCUCGAGCUCUGGUUCUUGCGAAUAAUAGAGCUGGACCAAUUGGCCAAACUGGUCGGCCAAUUUUUUUUCUGAAAUACAUCAAUCCGAGCUUGUCAAUCUCCUCCACCGUGUUCAUUAAAAUCCCGUCUGCAUUAUACCAUCCAAGAAGCAUGUUCCUUAGGAACACUGAAAUGGAAUCUUUACCAUCAGUCUUUCUUAGAAGUUCUGUUAGCUGGGUUACAUGAAAUUUAGAAGCCUCCGGGAAAUCUGGCAACGUGAACUCCUCGGAGUCUGUGUUCCGGUGGGGUAGGUUCAGCCACAAAGAGCUGAAACAUGCAAAGCCAUAACCACCACCUCCACAAAAUAUCGCAUGGAAAAUUCCAAACUCAUGUGCAAUCUCUGCACACCAUGAAAAGAACAUGUCUGUGAUGAUACACAG